rnacentral:rRNA from 1 species
UACGGAGGGUGCAAGCGUUAUCCGGAUUUACUGGGUUUAAAGGGUGUGUAGGCGGGUCUUUUAAGUCAGUGGUGAAAUCUCCGGGCUCAACCUGGAAACUGCCAUUGAUACUAUUGAUCUUGAAUUUUGUUGAGGUAGGCGGAAUAAGUCAUGUAGCGGUGAAAUGCAUAGAUAUGACUUAGAACCCCGAUUGCGAAGGCAGCUUACUAAACAAAUAUUGACGCUGAGGCACGAAAGCGUGGGGAUCAAACAGG